GCAGGCUGCAACCCGCCUGCACGAAGCCGGAGUUGCUAGUAAUCGCGAAUCAGAAUGUCGCGGUGAAUGCGUUCCCGGGUCUUGUACACACCGCCCGUCACACCAUGGAAGUUGGGGGUGCCCAAAGCCGGCAAGCAAAUAUGCUGUCUAAGGCAAAACCAAUGACUGGGGUGAAGUCGUAACAAGGUACC
rnacentral:rRNA from 1 species